AUAGUUAUCUGGAGGGGAGAUACCAUGUUCACGAAGGUGGUUUUCCCAGGGUGAGGCUCACCCAUUGCACUCUAGGUGUGCUGCCUCCUGCAAUUUCCCCAAGUGUGGGAAACUCAACUGCAUAAUUUGUGGUAAUGGGGGACUGCAUCUGCACUCUCCCC